CCAGACUCCUACGGGAGGCAGCAGUGGGGAAUAUUGCGCAAUGGGGGCAACCCUGACGCAGCAACGCCGCGUGCAGGAAGAAGGUCUUCGGAUUGUAAACUGUUGUCGCAGGGGAAGAAGACAGCGACGGUACCCUGUGAGAAAGUCACGGCUAACUACGUGCCAGCAGCCGCGGUAAUACGGAGGAUGCGAGCGUUAUCCGGAUUUAUUGGGUUUAAAGGGUGCGCAGGCGGAGGUGCAAGUCAGCGGUCAAAUUGCGGGGCUCAACCCCGUACUGCCGUUGAAACUGCAUCCCUUGAGUGCGCGAGAAGUAUGCGGAAUGCGUGGUGUAGCGGUGAAAUGCAUAGAUAUCACGCAGAACUCCGAUUGCGAAGGCAGCAUACCGGCGCGCAACUGACGCUCAUGCACGAAAGCGUGGGUAUCGAACAGGAUUAGAUACCCCCGUA
rnacentral:rRNA from 1 species